rnacentral:rRNA from 1 species
AACGAACGCUGGCGGCAGGCCUAACACAUGCAAGUCGAGCGAGGACUUCGGUCCUAGCGGCGGACGGGUGAGUAACGCGUGGGAACGUGCCCUUUGCUUCGGAAUAGCCCUGGGAAACUGGGAGUAAUACCGGAUGAGCCCUGUGGGGGAAAGAUUUAUCGGCGAAGGAUCGGCCCGCGUUGGAUUAGGUAGUUGGUGGGGUAAUGGCCUACCAAGCCGACGAUCCAUAGCUGGUUUGAGAGGAUGAUCAGCCACACUGGGACUGAGACACGGCCCAGACUCCUACGGGAGGCAGCAGUGGGGAAUCUUAGACAAUGGGGGAAACCCUGAUCUAGCCAUGCCGCGUGAGCGAUGAAGGCCUUAGGGUUGUAAAGCUCUUUCAGCUGGGAAGAUAAUGACGGUACCAGAAGAAGAAGCCCCGGCUAACUCCGUG